GUGAGCAUAGUUUAAUAAAAACGCUAGAUUGUGACUCUAGAAACAGAAGCCUGUUUUCUUGCACACC
rnacentral:tRNA from 1 species